rnacentral:lncRNA from 1 species
GGAAACGCUGUCAAGAUGUCAAAAAUACGCGGAAAGGGAAAAAAGGAAUUGCUACGGAAAGAGAGGUGGGAGAGGAACCCAGUCAAUUUCACCUGCUCCCCUUCCUCCAGGAAGAAUCGGAACCGAAAGCUUAAUAAGUGUGGUUGUUUUGAUAUUCGAAUCAUGAGACCCAAGGCAUCGUAGGGGACCUCGCCUGCAUCCAUUCGCCUAUCCAUCCUACAGCAGCGACUGCACCCCUGAUUGUGAUGACGAAUGCACCCCCAUCCUUGGGCUCCGUGCCCACUGCUGGGCUGGGCUGCUCCCUCAGGUGCGGCAGCCAGAGGAGCCUGCCCAGCCAGGAUAUGCGGCAGGAGGUUCAUUUUUGAAAGUAUAAGAAGGGCCGCCGGGAAUGAGUGUCUCACGGGGACAGAGUGUGCGUUUGGGAAGAUGAGACGGUUGUGGAGAUGGAUGGUGGGGAUGGUUACACAACAACGUGAAUAUGCUUAAAGCCACGUUCACGGAACACGUACAAAUGACUAAAAUGGUAACUUUCUGGUAUGGAUAUUUUACCACAAUAAAAAAAAAAUGCUAAAAAAA